rnacentral:misc_RNA from 1 species
CGAAUGGGUCUGAGGACUCUUAAAACCUACCGUGCUCCCCUACGUGGAAAACAGGAAAGCCCUCCGGGGCGUAGGAAAUCUGAGAAGUUGAGAACUGCGCCCCGGCGCAUGACUAAAACAAAAAAUUA